UACACCUUAGUAUAUGAUGUACAGGGAUUUUUGAGGUCCUUAGAACUAGUUUAAUCUAGUAGAUGUAA
rnacentral:tRNA from 1 species